GGUUGUUCAAAAUCCAGUUAGCUUAAUCUUAGGUUAACGAAAUACCUCAAAGCAAUCGUCCUAUAACGGUUUCUUUAUAAACGUGGAGUAUUUUCCAAAAAUCAUGUCUACAUUAAUAGAAGUACUCUUUUCUAACGUUUUGAAAUCAACGGAUUUGAAGAUGUAUACCCAGACCAAAACAGCCGGUUAAAUUAUAACCCAGGGUUAUAGCGCUAAUCCAGCUUUGAACAACCUGGUCCCGGACAAACGAGGAUAAGAGGGAUACAUGAGAGUUGGCAGUCUUGGAAUUGUUACAGGGGACAUUUCAAACUCUAGAUUAACAAAAUAAACGUUUGAUGAGUAUCCUUAUAAUUAUAUACUAUGUGUUGGGAAAACAUUAAGAACAGCUAUAACCCACCAACUCUCAUGCAUGCGCUCUCAUUCUCGUUCGAUCCGGGCUUUCAAGGCUUCAACAAACCAAACUUGUUGAUGAGUUGAAUUGUGCAAAGUAUGUCGCAAAAGUCAAAUGCAUUCUUUUUUCAUGCGCACGUUUUCGAUUUAAAACUAUACUAUAUAAGCAUGUAUGGAGAAAAAUAUCAAUUAAAGGGUGCCUGGUUGAACCGGUUAAACGGGUUAAACGAGGCGUUCGGCUUCACACAAGUUUUCUUUACGAAACAAUUUCACUGUAAAUAAAUACUUGGACGAACUGUUUAACCGAGACAUCAUGCACUCGAGUCAUGCAAACCGGGUCGCCCGAUCUGGCGGGCUGAAAUUUAUCAGAGCAAAUUAGUCACAUAACUGUAUGAACAGCCUCAAAGAUAAGUGACUUUUUUUCUCGAUGCGUACUUCCACUCUAAGGGGUCUGUCAUGGCAGUUCAAAGCGUACGAGAUUUUGAAAUCAAUUUAUUUCUGAACUGAUUUCCUGAUUUUCGACUGAUUUCAACAUUUCCUGAAGAUACCAGUUACAGCAUUUCUAGUGCAUUUGAAUGCCUGAAAAUAAGUUUGUGAAAACAAAAUAUUGUUAUAGUUACAAACCAUCGUCUGAAAUAUGCAAAAGUGAAAAGGC